CGCCACUGUCCAGAACAGACGAUAAGAAUUUCACGGGACUUUUGUCUGGAAGUUUGCGGUUGACAAGGCGUUUUUACCUACAUGAUCACAGUAACUUUCCCAGCAAGGCUGUUAGCUAGAGAAGGUGCCCGCCCCGCCCUGGAGCCUGAGUGAGGACGAGCUGCAGCCUUGUCCAAGAGAAAGGCCCGGGGGACCCAGCCACCCACCUCCUUGCUCCCCACCACCCUUCGUUCCAAGGAGCACUCAAGACCAAGCCUAGGACUCGCAACAAAGCUUGGUUCCUAACUAGACCGGCGGGGACUGACUAGGAAUGGAAUCCAGGCAAACACCUGGCCGAUCAUAAUCAGAUGUUACUAAAUAUUCAUAAGGAUUACAAUCAGCACCUAGCACAGUGUCUGGGACAUGGCAAGUGCUCAAUAUUUAUAGAAGAAAAGAGUGAAUAAAUCAAGAAAUCGUCAUUAAACACCAAAAUUGUGUUUAACAGAACCAAACAGCACCACGCCCUAUUGACCCUGACCUGAAGCUUCUGAUGGAGAAGGCCCUUGAACUCCCAGGCCCUCCCUGUAAGCAGGUUGGGCAGUGCAGAGGGCACAGGGCACAGCGCAAAGCCACGGGGAAAGAUGAGCAGGGUGCUACCCACAGGAAGGUGCCCUCCCGAUCCCCCCACAGCCUCUGCCCCCUGUGAACACAGCGGCCUGUCUUCUCUGGGCCUCUUCCCUUUUCUCUGCGUCCU
rnacentral:lncRNA from 1 species